rnacentral:tRNA from 1 species
UCCUUGAUGGUCUAGUGGUCAGGAUUCGGUGCUCUCACCGCAGCGGCCCGGGUUCGCAUCCCGGUCAGGGAA